rnacentral:rRNA from 1 species
AAGACCUUGCGCUUUUGGAGCGGCCGAUGCCUGAUUAGCUUGUUGGUAAGGUAAAAGCUUACCAAGGCUUCGAUCAGUAGCUGGUCUGAGAGGACGACCAGCCACACUGGGACUGAGACACGGCCCAGACUCCUACGGGAGGCAGCAGUGGGGAAUUUUGGACAAUGGGGGCAACCCUGAUCCAGCCAUGCCGCGUGAGUGAAGAAGGCCUUCGGGUUGUAAAGCCCUUUCAGCCGGAACGAAACGGUUACGGUUAAUACCCGUGACUACUGACGGUACCGGAAGAAGAAGCACCGGCUAACUACGUGCCAGCAGCCGCGGUAAUACGUAGGGUGCGAGCGUUAAUCGGAAUUACUGGGCGUAAAGCGUGCGCAGGUGGUUUUGUAAGUCAGAUGUGAAAGCCCCGGGCUCAACCUGGGAACU